rnacentral:rRNA from 1 species
CGGCACGGGUGAGUAACACGUGUCCAACCUGCCGUCUACUCUUGGACAGCCUUCUGAAAGGAAGAUUAAUACAAGAUGGCAUCAUGAGUUCACAUGUUCACAUGAUUAAAGGUAUUCCGGUAGACGAUGGGGAUGCGUUCCAUUAGAUAGUAGGCGGGGUAACGGCCCACCUAGUCUUCGAUGGAUAGGGGUUCUGAGAGGAAGGUCCCCCACAUUGGAACUGAGACACGGUCCAA